rnacentral:lncRNA from 1 species
GAGAGGAGUGCCUUUAAACAAGGUAGGCCACCCAGCGGCACCUCUGCCUACCCUCGCGGCCGCCAUUUUGUUGGGCUUUCAGCCAUAGCUGCUGCCAUGCCAUAAAAGUGCGGGAAAGGAGAUGCUGAGGUGCAGCUGUUGGAGGGCUGGGUUGUUGUGGUGGUCCCUCAUCAGUGCCACCAGCUGUGAGCCUUUAGCAGGGACAUGAUGGGCUCAGCUGCCCUAGGCCUGCCUCAGCCUUUAUCAUGAGCAUCCAUGAGCCUCCUGGAUGAGAUUCUUCUGCAGUGCCUGAUCCUGUCCUGGAGGUGUGCUGGUUAGAUGGCAACAGAACUGUCUGGGAAGCUGAACCUUGCACGGACCACUGAUGGGAGGAGACUCUUCAGAAAGGGAAGAAGCUCAUAAGAAGUUGUUGAUUGUGUGUUGUAGCAGCCUCAGGCAGUGCCUGCUCAGUGAUCUGAGUACAUCCGCUUUCCACCUCCUGCAAUGCCAACAACAUGACAUUCUCAGCUUCUGUUGUAGCACUUCUUGUUUCAUUUGUUCCCUCAUCCACACCUCUGAUCACUCACAGUAGUGCAAUGCUGAGCAGAGGAAUGAAGAACUUCUCACUGCAUUUUUGUUGGCUAGGAAUAGCAGUUGUGGAAGACUUCAUUCAUGUCUACCGCCAUCAUCACCUCAGCAUUCAGGUACCCUCCAGUAGUACAUUAAACAUGAAAAACAUCUGUUCUGUGUUUGUCUUCU